rnacentral:rRNA from 1 species
UACACAUGCAGUCGAGGGGUAGGGCACUUCGGUGCUUGAGACCGGCGCACGGGUGCGUAACACGUAUGCAAUCUGCCUUCCACAGAGGGAUAGCCCAGAGAAAUUUGGAUUAAUACCUCAUAGCAUCAUGGCCCGGCAUCGGGAUAUGAUUAAAGUCACAACGGUGGAAGAUGAGCAUGCGUCCCAUUAGCUAGUUGGUAAGGUAACGGCUUACCAAGGCUACGAUGGGUAGGGGUCCUGAGAGGGAGAUCCCCCACACUGGUACUGAGACACGGACCAGACUCCUACGGGAGGCAGCAGUGAGGAAUAUUGGUCAAUGGGCGCAAGCCUGAACCAGCCAUGCCGCGUGCAGGAUGACGGUCCUAUGGAUUGUAAACUGCUUUUGUACGGGAAGAAACCCUCCUACGUGUAGGAGCUUGACGGUACCGUAAGAAUAAGGAUCGGCUAACUCCGUGCCAGCAGCCGCGGUAAUACGGAGGAUCCAAGCGUUAUCCGGAAUCAUUGGGUUUAAAGGGUCUGUAGGCGGUCUUGUAAGUCAGUGGUGAAAGCCCAUCGCUCAACGGUGGAACGGCCAUUGAUACUGCUGGACUUGAAUUAUUGGGAAGCAACUAGAAUAUGUAGUGUAGCGGUGAAAUGCUUAGAGAUUACAUGGAAUACCAAUUGCGAAGGCAGGUUGCUACCAAUGGAUUGACGCUGAUGGACGAAAGCGUGGGUAGCGAACAGGAUUAGAUACCCUGGUAGUCCACGCCGUAAACGAUGGAUACUAGCUGUUGGGCGCAAGUUCAGUGGCUAAGCGAAAGUGAUAAGUAUCCCACCUGGGGAGUACGAACGCAAGUUUGAAACUCAAAGGAAUUGACGGGGGCCCGCACAAGCGGUGGAGCAUGUGGUUUAAUUCGAUGAUACGCGAGGAACCUUACCAAGGCUUAAAUGCAGACUGACCGGUUUGGAAACAGACCUUUCGCAAGACGGUCUACAAGGUGCUGCAUGGUUGUCGUCAGCUCGUGCC